AUCUAUUUGUUAUUUUCCCACAAUUACAUUUUUAAAAUUUUCUUUAACUUCAGAUUUGUAGCUAUGCAAAAUGAUGAUAUCUUACUCCAAAGCAAAAAAUAAUUUAUAACAGAAAACAAGCAGUAUUAACACAUAAACAAGCCACAGUGGAACAGUUUACUGGGAUUUGUAAAAUAGAGCACUACUGAAAUGCCAGACACUCUGACAUCAACUAUAUGUCAGAGGGGCUAAAAGUCAAGUACCAAGAACCAAGAUGUUCUAAGGAUUAGCAGGGAGAGUGUCUCAUAAUCAAGCAGUAAUAAGAUGACUAAGGUUAUAAUAGUCCAAUAACUAAGAUAUUUGUUGCUAUUUCCAAGGACUAUAAGUAGCUUAAAAUGUUAUAUUAAGGUAUUUGUUAUAAUUUCCUAAACUUAAGAUCCUACAUUUGUAAAUAUUUACUCAAAAUCGUUUGUUAGCGUAACCUCUUAAGCAAAUUACACUUUGCUUGGGCCAGUAUUAGAUUUUAUUUUUAUUCUGUAGCCCAGGUAUACAUACUAGCCCUAGAUAAACCCAUGGUGGACAAUUUACACAUGAACGAAGAAUCAUUUGCAGGUAUAAAGCCAGUGAAUAGUCAAAAUUGCACAACGUACUACCACCCAAGCAAGUCUAUUCUUUAUAAGAUUAUCUGCCCUGAGCUCCGUAAGUUUGUAAGUGGCCACCCUGUUUUCCUUCAAACUGGUAUUCAGCUAAGUGGACAGGCUAGGCAAAUCUACUGGCAGAUUCCAUCUCAUUAUGCUGGAACAAUGACUGGAAUUUAAGGAAUGAUAUAUGAAGCAAGAUAAUUUAAGACCACCAAAGAAGUGACAAAGGGAACCACAUUUUUGUGUGUCCCAGAAGCUGUCCUGCCUCCAGAUCAACAGAUGUCUCUGCAAGUUCAGCACAAGGCAAAUGGAGGGCGCACUCAAACUUCAGGGCCCUUUGUUUAACCUCAUGUGCUCCAGGUUGGCUCUUGAGAAUUAAAACCCAAAACUCACAUUACAAGCAUCUUUCAAAUUCUAUUAUUGAACUAGAGAUAUGGAAAUAGAUCUAGACAAAUUAUGGGGGUGAGCGGAUGAAGAAGGGACAGGCAGCCGCUGUCCUCUAAGGUUUCACAAAAUGGAAGCAGGCAACCCAGAGAGUCACUUUAGCUUCUGAACCGACUUCAGUAAAGGCUGGUCUUCUUCAUGAUCCGAAGAAACUCCUCCUCAUUCACUUCGCCGUCCCCAUCCCGAUCAGCUUCGUCGAUCAUCUCCUGCAGCUCCUCAUCCGUGAGGUUUUCCCCCAGCUCGUUGGCCACACGCUUCAGGUUUUUGAACGAGAUCUUCCCGGUCUCAUCGUCAUCAAAGAGCCUGAAGGCCUUCAGGAUUUCUUCUUUGGUGUCCUUCUCGGACAUCUUCUGCGUCAUCACGGCCAGGAAGUCAUUGAAGCUGAUCUUCCCCGUGCCUUCCUUGUCCACUUCGGAGAUCAUUUUCUUCAUCUCUUCCUUCCUGGGUUCGAAGCCCAGCGCUCUCAUGGCCACCUUCAGCUCCUUCACGUCGAUGGUCCCACUUCCGUCCACGUCGAAGAGGUCAAAUGCUUCCCGAACUUCUUGCUUCUGAUCUUCAGAGUGCACUGGUGCCAUUCAGCUUACUGCAGCCUCC
rnacentral:lncRNA from 1 species